rnacentral:rRNA from 3 species
UGGGGAAUAUUGCACAAUGGAGGGAACUCUGAUGCAGCGACGCCGCGUGAGCGAAGAAGGCUUUCGAGUCGUAAAGUUCUUUUAUAUGGGAAGAUAAUGACGGUACCAUAAGAAAAAGCCCCGGCUAACUACGUGCCAGCAGCCGCGGUAAUACGUAGGGGGCUAGCGUUGUCCGGAAUCACUGGGCGUAAAGGGUUCGCAGGCGGAAAUGCAAGUCAGGUGUAAAAGGCAGUAGCUUAACUACUGUAAGCAUUUGAAACUGCAUAUCUUGAGAAGAGUAGAGGUAAGUGGAAUUUUUAGUGUAGCGGUGAAAUGCGUAGAUAUUAAAAAGAAUACCGGUGGCGAAGGCGACUUACUGGGCUCAUUCUGACGCUGAGGAACGAAAGCGUGGGUAGCAAACAGG